rnacentral:rRNA from 1 species
AGAGUUUGAUCCUGGCUCAGAUUGAACGCUGGCGGCAUGCCUUACACAUGCAAGUCGAACGGCAGCACGGGAGCAAUCCUGGUGGCGAGUGGCGAACGGGUGAGUAAUGUAUCGGAACGUACCUUUCAGUGGGGGAUAACGUAGCGAAAGUUACGCUAAUACCGCAUAUUCUGUGAGCAGGAAAGCAGGGGAUCGCAAGACCUUGCGCUGAUUGAGCGGCCGAUAUCAGAUUAGCUAGUUGGUGAGGUAAAGGCUCACCAAGGCGACGAUCUGUAGCGGGUCUGAGAGGAUGAUCCGCCACACUGGAACUGAGACACGGUCCAGACUCCUACGGGAGGCAGCAGUGGGGAAUUUUGGACAAUGGGGGC